rnacentral:lncRNA from 10 species
ACUCCCAGUUUUGGCAGCCCUAAAGCUACAGACAGGACUAAAGAAAAAUUAAAUUCCUAAGAUAAAUAAGAUCACACUCUAAUAUUUUUCCGCUGGCAGAGAGAAUGAAGAUAUGACAGUGGUUCUGCAUGAGUUUGGAUAAUUAUAUUUUUCACAUUGUUUGGCAGUUAAGAUUGACAACUACUGAUUAUUUAAGGCCCAUCCAUCUGGCAGAGAAAGGGAUGCUCAGGACACAGAACAACCAUGUUACCUUAACAAGACUUCCGUGAGCACCAACUUUGGAUGCGGUCUACUCUCUACAGAGGUCUCUGGCAACCUCACAACCUGCAGUUCCUUGCCCUCAUGCAGCACUUCCUGAGAGGCAGAGACGUGGACUAGGAGAAACCUGAGUCACCAUGAUGUAAGAGAGAUCUCCAGAACAUUUCUUCCCAUCUAACUGACUAAUGGAAGCACUGUACCCUUUAUCCAACAUCUCCCCACUCCCCUGGCGGGAUCCUGGAGUUCACCAUGGAAC